rnacentral:rRNA from 1 species
AUUGAACGCUGGCGGCACGCUUAACACAUGCAAGUCGAGCGGUAGCAUGCUUAGUAGCAAUACUAAGUGAUGACGAGCGGCGGACGGGUGAGGAACACGUAGGAAUCCACCCUCAAGCGGGGGACAACCAAGGGAAACUUUGGCUAAUACCGCAUAAUCUCGAGAGAGUAAAGCUGCCCGUAAGGGUGGCACUUGAGGAGGAGCCUGCGUCCGAUUAGCUAGUUGGUGGGGUAAAAGCCCACCAAGGCGAUGAUCGGUAACUGGUCUGAGAGGACGACCAGUCACACUGGGACUGGGACACGGCCCAGACUCCUACGGGAGGCAGCAGUGGGGAAUCUUGGACAAUGGGGGCAUCCCUGAUCCAGCGAUGCCGCGUGAGUGAAGAAGGCCCUCGGGUCGUAAAGCUCUUUAGGCUGGGAAGAAGUGUGGUGGCUGAAUAAUCCAUCACGUUGACGGUACCAGCAGAAUAAGCACCGGCAAACUCUGUGCCAGCCGCCGCCGUAACAC